AACGCUAGCUACAGGCUUAACACAUGCAAGUCGAGGGGAAACGACAUCGAAAGCUUGCUUUUGAUGGGCGUCGACCGGCGCACGGGUGAGUAACGCGUAUCCAACCUGCCCAUCACUUGGGGAUAACCUUGCGAAAGUAAGACUAAUACCCAAUGAUAUCUCUAGAAGACAUCUGAAGGAGAUUAAAGAUUUAUCGGUGAUGGAUGGGGAUGCGUCUGAUUAGCUUGUUGGCGGGGUAACGGCCCACCAAGGCAACGAUCAGUAGGGGUUCUGAGAGGAAGGUCCCCCACAUUGGAACUGAGACACGGUCCAAACUCCUACGGGAGGCAGCAGUGAGGAAUAUUGGUCAAUGGACGAGAGUCUGAACCAGCCAAGUAGCGUGCAGGAUGACGGCCCUAUGGGUUGUAAACUGCUUUUAUAAGGGAAUAAAGUGAGUCUCGUGAGACUUUUUGCAUGUACCUUAUGAAUAAGGACCGGCUAAUUCCGUGCCAGCAGCCGCGGUAAUACGGAAGGUCCGGGCGUUAUCCGGAUUUAUUGGGUUUAAAGGGAGCGUAGGCCGGAGAUUAAGCGUGUUGUGAAAUGUAGACGCUCAACGUCUGCACUGCAGCGCGAACUGGUUUCCUUGAGUACGCACAAAGUGGGCGGAAUUCGUGGUGUAGCGGUGAAAUGCUUAGAUAUCACGAAGAACUCCGAUUGCGAAGGCAGCUCACUGGAGCGCAACUGACGCUGAAGCUCGAAAGUGCGGGUAUCGAACAGGAUUAGAUACCCUGGUAGUCCGCACGGUAAACGAUGGAUGCCCGCUGUUGGUCUGAAUAGGUCAGCGGCCAAGCGAAAGCAUUAAGCAUCCCACCUGGGGAGUACGCCGGCAACGGUGAAAC
rnacentral:rRNA from 1 species